AACGCACAUUGCGCCUAUUAGUAUUCUAGUAGGCAUGCCUGUUCGAGCGUCAUUACACCACUCAGGCUUCAUUGCUUGGAGUUGGGACGUUACCGCCCCGGCGGUAAGUCCUCAAAUCUAGUGGCGAGGUCGGAUGUCCUCUAAGCGUAGUAAUCUUUUUUCCUCGCUUUGGUCAGGCUUCCGGCUGCAGCCAGAAACCCACUAUAUUUUCUAAUGGUUGACCUCGGAUCAGGUAGGAAUACCCGCUGAACUUAA
rnacentral:misc_RNA from 1 species